CGCAAACGGGUAGGGCGUCUUCUUCGCGCGGCCGGGAAGGGCCAGGCCCCGGGUUCGUCGGCUCCAGGGCUGCUGCCGUUUCGCCAACGACCCAUAUCUCCUCUAUCACAGCUAGAUGAGACCCUAUCGGAGAGACUCUGGGGUCUGACGGAGAUGUUUCCCGAGAGGGUCCGGUCAGCCGCUGGAGCCACCUUUGAUCUCUCGCUCUUCGUGGCUCAGAAGAUGUACAGGUAAAGAGCCGAAGUAGAUCCACCAGGAGUUGUUUAUGGAAGGGUGACUGGUGCUGUCAAAAGACACCGGGCCUCGGAAGUCGCAAACCAGAGUUUGAGUGACCUUGGAUUCAUUGUCAUACCUAAUGUGAUUGGUCUUCUGCAGAAUGAAGUUCUUACCUGGCAGGGUCGUUGUGAGACUAAGGUUACUAUAUACGAGGCUUAGGAGAAUGCACUGUAAUCACUGCUCCUCUUGCCUCUGCUAGGACUCUGGUGCAAGGAAUGGGUAGGGUACGCUUUCAGAAAAUUGAGGGUGGUACUGGAAGUUCUGGCACAGGUUUGGUCCUUGCUGGAUUGCCUGCUUUGUCUUUGCAUGCCUCCACUUAAGCUCUCCCUCUGCAGAUUUUCCAGGGCAGCUUUGUGGAUUGGGACCACUUCCUUCAUGAUCCUGGUUCUUCCUGUUGUCUUUGAGACAGAAAAGUUGCAAAUGGAGCAACAACAGCAACUGCAGCAAAGGCAG
rnacentral:lncRNA from 1 species